UCCCUGGUGGUCUAGCAGUUAAGGCUCACAUGCUCUCACCGCCACAGCCCAGGUUCAAUCCCUGGGCAGGGAA